UACGGAGGGUGCAAGCGUUAUCCGGAAUCAUUGGGUUUAAAGGGUCCGCAGGCGGGAAGAUAAGUCAGUGGUGAAAUCUCACAGCUCAACUGUGAACUGCCAUUGAUACUGUCUUUCUUGAAUUCGAUCGAAGUGGGCGGAAUGUGACAUGUAGCGGUGAAAUGCUUAGAUAUGUCACAGAACACCGAUAGCGAAGGCAGCUCACUAGGUCUGGAUUGACGCUCAGGGACGAAAGCGUGGGGAGCAAACAGG
rnacentral:rRNA from 1 species